AGUGAACGCUGGCGGUAGGCCUAACACAUGCAAGUCGAACGGCAGCACAGUAAUCGCUUUCUCUUACGGUUGGCGACUGGCGGAUGUGUCAGGAAUACAUCCCCAUCUUCUUUUUCUUGGCUGUUUACGUAGGGACUCUUACCCUAAUCCCGCUUAUGUUCUACGGGUGAAAUCAGUGGUUCUUCCGAUCUUUCGCGUUUGUAUUAGCUGUUUUCGGAUUAGCUUGUUGGCGUGGUAAAGGCCCACCAAGGCGACGAUCAGUAGCUUGUCUGAGAGGAUGAGCAGCCACACUGGAACUGAGACACGGACCAGACUCCUACGGGAGGCAGCAGUGGGGAAUAUUGGACAAUGGGGGCAAGCCUGAUCCAGCAAAGCCGCGUGGGUGAAGAAGGACUUCGGGUUGUAAAGCCCUUUUGUUGGGAAAGAAAAGAAGCAGGAUAAUACCCCGAGGUAAUGACGGUACCGAAAGAAUAAGCACCGGCUAACUACGUG
rnacentral:rRNA from 1 species